ensembl:misc_RNA Metazoa_SRP Metazoan signal recognition particle RNA
GCUGGGCGCGAUGGUGUGUGCCUGUAGUCCCAGCUACUCGGGAAGCUGAGGUGGGAGGAUCGCUUGAGCCCAGGAGUUCUGGGCUAUAGUGCACUAUGCCCAUUUGGUGUCCACACUAAGUUUGGUGUCAGUAUGGUGACCUCCUGGGAGCGGGGGACCACCAGGUUGCCUAAGGAAUGGUGAACUGGCCCAGGUCAGAAACGGAGCAGGUCAAAACUCCCGUGCCGAUCAGUAGUGGGAUCGCACCUGUGAAUAGCCAUUGUACUCCAGCCUGGGCAACAUAGAGAGACCAAGUCUCUU